AGUGAACGCUGGCGGUAGGCCUAACACAUGCAAGUCGAACGGCAGCACAGUAAGAGCUUGCUCUUACGGGUGGCGAGUGGCGGACGGGUGAGGAAUACAUCGGAAUCUACUUUUUCGUGGGGGAUAACGUAGGGAAACUUACGCUAAUACCGCAUACGACCUACGGGUGAAAGCAGGGGAUCUUCGGACCUUGCGCGAUUGAAUGAGCCGAUGUCGGAUUAGCUAGUUGGCGGGGUAAAGGCCCACCAAGGCGACGAUCCGUAGCUGGUCUGAGAGGAUGAUCAGCCACACUGGAACUGAGACACGGUCCAGACUCCUACGGGGGGCAGAAGUGGGGAAUAUUGGACAAUGGGCGCAAGCCUGAUCCAGCCAUACCGGGUGGGUGAAGAAGGCCUUCGGGUUGGAAAGCCCUUUUGUUGGGAAAGAAAAGCAGCAGGUUAAUACCCCGCUGUUCUGACGGUACCCAAAGAAUAAGCACCGGCUAACUUCGUG
rnacentral:rRNA from 1 species